UACGUAGGGUGCAAGCGUUAAUCGGAAUUACUGGGCGUAAAGCGUGCGCAGGCGGUUGAUGCAAGACAGAUGUGAAAUCCCCGGGCUCAACCUGGGAAUUGCAUUUGUGACUGCACGGCUAGAGUGUGUCAGAGGGGGGUAGAAUUCCACGUGUAGCAGUGAAAUGCGUAGAGAUGAUGGAGGAAUACCGAUGGCGAAGGCGCCCCCUGGGAUAACAACUGACGG
rnacentral:rRNA from 1 species